rnacentral:lncRNA from 1 species
CUUCCUGAGCUGUACCACUCUUGCUGAUGUAGGAAACUAGUGCGACCAAACUCAGUGCAAGAUCUUACAGAAAAGGAAUAUGAUAUUUAUUUACAGAAUUUCCAAGAGCACGUAGCCUUCAUCCAGCAAGAGGAAAGGCGAGGUUUGGGCCACACCAAUUCCCUUCCAUUCAUCCUCAUCUGUGCCACAACACCUAGCCCUGACCUGCAGCUGUCUGGGUGGUUUUGAAUGGAUGACAGUGCUGGCUUG